GAAUUUUGUAGAUAUUACUUGAGUUCAAUUUUAUAAAUUAUAUUAAAUUUAUUGAAUUUAAGACAGAUGUUUAAGUAAUCUAAAUGGAAAAAUAUGUAUCAAAUAGUAGUUCUGUAGGUAUUACCUAUUGUAUUAAAGUAUUAGAAAAUUAGAAAUACUAGAAGUAUAGAUAGAUACUUCAUGAAUCAUGGCUCAUGUAUUCCUUUAAAUAUUGAGUCAACUGUAAAGGUGAACUGAGUUUAUAUCAGUUUAAAAUAAGCAGUUUGAAAAUUUAGGAUAAUAACUUGGAGUCUUAACAAUAACUUAGACUUUAGGCCCUGAACCAUUGCGGACGCCGUAUAUCAAUGUCGUCAAAAUGACCUUUUUACUUGUAAGAAAUCUAUCAAUGGUUUUUGUUGAAUAAACAAUCGGCAGAAUCAACAUAAACAAUUAAUAUAUAUGGCAGAAUUAAAGACAAAUGUCGGGAAAAAUCGAUAGCCAGCAAAAUUGAUAAAACUCUUGCAUUGCAAUUCACAACUCCAUAUUCGUCUGACUUUGUACCUUAUUAAAACUAGCCGCUGGGUUAAAAAUAUAUCGUGUUCAACAAACAUAAUAUGUAUGUAUAGUCGCAUCGGCGAUGAACGUCGAUUCAUACGAUUACUGCUCGUUUUCAUCGCUAGAUUGCGUUGUCAUAUACCAUUCUCAGUCCGUAUAUAAUUUUUGGAUUCAGAUUUUACAUGACGACCGACAUGGUUCACGUAUUUUUCAUCUUGUUAGUAGUUGUUAACCACUAUUUACGGUUGGGUGACGAUGUCCGAACAUUUCGAAAAUUUUGGAAAUCAAAGGACAACUGGUAAUGAUGUUUUAUAAAAAAUGAUAAUUUCAAGACAUAAAAUAUCUGUCUA